UUGACUUGAGGAGAGAGAGCGGAUGGAGACAGAACGGCUGACAAAUUGGAGAGAGAAGACGAUGCCUCUGAUUUUUCACUGGGACACAGCUGGGUGUGGCUGUGCCGAAAGGGGAGGAAGGGGACAGAGCGAGUGGAGAGGAUGGAAACAGAGAGGCUGACAGAUUGGAGAGAGAUGGGAGCUACGGGUUUAGUGCCAGGAUCUAUGGGAUUUUCUGCGAUUUUAGAGAGAGGAAUUAUCAGAGAGAGAUACAGAACGGAAAGCAUGCGUGUAUGCAUUGUUUAGGGUUAAGAGGUCACGCACAGAGUCGGUGAGGAGGGGACGGGUGAGGGGGGAAUGGCAGGGUGUGGGUUUUCAGCUUUCUCCCUUGAUUCAAAAGAUCAAACCAUCCAUUCACACAGCAGCCACAAGACAGACCGUUAGUGAGCUCAAGUAUACGCACUUUUUUCAGAAACAGAGUCUCAUCCACCGGAAUCUGGAUUUCCUAGCAGCAUUUAUCAGUUUUUUGCUAUAGUGCGGAAGAUGUCCACUCUAAAAAAAAGUGAACAAUGCAAUCUCUGUAAGCCGUUCUACAUCUUUUCAGCUAGCAACAUUUUUGCUUCAACACCUGCAUGUUCUUUGCUUUGCACGUUUGUGCUUGGAAACUUAGAUGCUAGAAUGAGAACAAAACAGUCUAUAUCUUUUUUUGUCAACUACUCAAACAUGUACCUAACCUAGAAGAUAUACAUUUUUUCACCUUCGCUACAAGGGCAACAUGUCUGUAAACUAUGUGUUACUUUUGUUUAUUCUAUAUAUUAGCUAACCAAAACGUUUCGUUUCGUCCUUUUAAUUGUACAAUGCAGUUCAAGGUGAUGCAUUCAAGCCCCGCAGCAUCGCGCGGGCAUUUUUUCUAGUUGGAAACUAAAACAAGCAUAACAAAAUGUAGCAAUAUAUACUUGUUUCUUACAAUGGAGAAAAACCGGUAACGAGAUAAUUAAGAACAGAUGACACGAAACAGUACAGAUUUCCCAAGUUUAAAUUUUCACUUCUACAAAUAUUUUCUUAACCCAUUUAGAAAAAGAAAAAAAAAACGCAUUAACCGUUGGUUGUAAAUGGGAAAGUGGACAUAAUUAUAGCCUGUUUGAGUUGGAGCAUGCAAAGCUCCAUGGGAAAUUCUUCUGAAAUUAAGUUAUUAUUCAACAUAAAAAGGAAAAGAUUUGGAAAACAGCAUUGUUGGCGCUACCAUCUCAUAUGAUCACUUUAUCAUGGUUAUAAUCACCAUGUCAAAUGAUUAAAAUUUGAAAAACAUCAAUGCUUAUUCAUAAUUAGUCAUUAAAAUAUAUGUGUCAAUCCACAAAUUCUAUCAAAAUUUCUAGAAAAGUCUCACAAACUCCGUUGUAAUUCAAAUAGAAUUUCAGUUCCACAUGGAUCAAGAUCAAAGUUCAAUCAAUCAGAAUUCCUGACAAAUCCAAGCUUCGUACGCUUUACGGAACAUCUAAUCCACUUAAAUAGUGGAAUAUUGGGAGACUCCUUUGGGGUUUAAAAAGGCACACAAAGGAAUAUAAAACGUAACUUCAUGUUUUCAUAUUCCCUCAUUGUAAAAUUACUAGUAAUACAUCACCACACAGACAUCAGGAAAGAGAUGCAAGAUAUAAUGUUACAGACUAACAUGACUGCUGAGAUGGCGCGACACACCAGUGAUGUUCAAUUGACAUGUUCUUUUCCCACUGUUGACCCUAUUGGUGUGUUACGUACUGCAGUUCAGUUCGAUUCAACUUAACAUACUUAUUUUACAAACGAGAUAACCACAAAUCCUAAUUCAAUUGCAACAAUCAUAUUUCACAACAGUUCACAUGUGUCUAAUUGAGUGUUAAAUAUCACAAAAUUGUCAAAUAAGUAACCUUGCACGACCGUAUAUACCUCCUUGUUGUGAAGCUCUUUCCUUUCACUUCUCUCUACCACUAUCAUCACCACAACCCCACCCCCAAUCCUCCACCACCCCAUCACCAUGUCGCCACCACAAUCACCAUCCCUACUACUAUUGCAGCCACUUAAGACAAUACAUAGAAUAUCACUAUCUUGCCAACAAUUACCACGUGACACUUGUACCAGCAUUGUUGUCGCCACCACCUCAUACGACCACUUUAUCAUGGUAAUAAUCACCAUGUCAAAUGAUUAAAAUUUGAAAAAUAGCAAUGCUUAUUCAUAAUUAGUCAUUAAUAUAUAUAUACACACACAUGCUUAUAUAUGCUUAAUAUGUGGAUGCAUAUUAAUAUGUUAAGUCUCUGACGAGAUUAGUGACGAUAUUGAUAAUAUCUUUAUAUCAUUCAUGAUCUAUUUUUACCACAUGGUCAUCAGGUGAUGAGUCGUAUAGUUAUCUUCGGCCGUAGAUUUGUUUGCAGGUUAAAUUUGUCCUAGUGGACGCUAGGGUUGAUGAUUAUUAGCGUUAUUGAGAUUAACUAGUUGAUGCUAGUAUAUUUCCUACUUGCUAUACUUAUGUUAGUAGAUGCUAGCAUGACUGAUUGACUGAAUGUAUGAUUUAUGGAUUUGACUUGAUGGUUUUUCGUUGAUAUUGAUGAAUGAGACUUUACUAUUAUGGUAGUAUUAUAUUAUAUAGUUUUUCACUAUAUAUGUUUUCCAAACAGGGGUUAUUAUGUUUAAAUGAAGAUUUUAUAAUUAUGAUAAAACUGGUCCACACACGUUUUGUUUUAUCGACCCCUUCAGGGUGUAACGAGACUAAGGAGAACAUCAGUGGGCUUGGCAGUGAGGCUUUCAUCCCUUGGGUUGAUGGCUCCUUGACUACAGUUUUUUCUAUGUUGUAAUAAUUAUUGCAUGAUCGCACUUUUGAUUAUGCAUAGCACUGCACUUUGUUAUAUUACUAUUUACUGCUGUAUGAAACUUCUAGUUGUUA